rnacentral:rRNA from 1 species
GACGAACGCUGGCGGCGUGCCUAAUACAUGCAAGUCGAGCGCAGGAAGCCGUCUGAACCCUUCGGGGGGACGACGGUGGAAUGAGCGGCGGACGGGUGAGUAACACGUAAAGAACCUGCCCAUAGGUCUGGGAUAACCACGAGAAAUCGGGGCUAAUACCGGAUGGUUCAUCGGACCGCAUGGUCCGCUGAUGAAAGGCGCUCCGGCGUCGCCCCUGGAUGGCCUUGCGGUGCAUUAGCUAGUUGGUGGGGUAACGGCCCACCAAGGCGACGAUGCAUAGCCGACCUGGGAGGGUGAUCGGCCACACUGGGACUGAGACACGGCCCAGACUCCUACGGGAGGCAGCAGUAGGGAAUCUUCCACAAUGGACGAAAGUCUGAUGGAGCAACGCCGCGUGAACGAUGAAGGCUUUCGGGUCGUAAAGUUCUGUUGUAAGGGAAGAACAAGUGCCGCAGGCAAUGGCGGCACCUUGACGGUACCUUGCGAGAAAGCCACGGCUAACUACGUGCCAGCAGCCGCAGUAACAC